GGAUAACUUGGCAUCGGUAGGCCAAGCUACUUGCUAUGUAGUGAUAUUUAUCUUCAGUGUUCGAUUCACUGGUUAUCCG